rnacentral:rRNA from 1 species
UACAGAGGUCUCGAGCGUUAGGCGGAAUCACUGGGCUUAAAGCGCGUGUAGGCGGACUCGUUAAGUACCUUGUGAAAUCCCACGGCUUAACCGUGGAACGGCUGGGUAUACUGGGCGGUCUUGGAGCCACCUAGGGGCCUGCGGAACAAGCGGUGGAGCGGUGAAAUGCGUAGAUAUCUGGAGGAACACCGGUGGCGAAG